AGAAAAGAAUGCAGUAAUCAUGAACUUCAGCUGGUUUAGCUUCUCAGUUAUUUUUCUCUUGUUAGUUGAAUUACCUGGAAGUAUUUGCCUACGGAUGGUUGACUUCUAUGUUCCAGAAUUCGCAAACAGAGGAGAUAAAAUAGUUUUAAAGUGUGGAUUUGAACUGGAGAACCUAACAGAAGAACUUUACAGUGUUAAAUGGUAAAUAUUUU